GGCAAUGGUCAAGCGCGAGGACGGGUAGCCGGCCUGAGAGGGCGACCGGCCACACUGGGACUGAGACACGGCCCAGACUCCUACGGGAGGCAGCAGUGGGGAAUAUUGCACAAUGGGCGCAAGCCUGAUGCAGCGACGCCGCGUGAGGGAUGACGGCCUUCGGGUUGUAAACCUCUUUCAGCAGGGAAGAAGCGCAAGUGACGGUACCUGCAGAAGAAGCGCCGGCUAACUACGUGCCAGCAGCCGCGGUAAUACGUAGGGCGCAAGCGUUGUCCGGAAUUAUUGGGCGUAAAGAGCUCGUAGGCGGCUUGUCACGUCGGGUGUGAAAGCCCGGGGCUUAACCCCGGGUCUGCAUUCGAUACGGGCUGGCUGGAGUGUGGUAGGGGAGAUCGGAAUUCCUGGUGUAGCGGUGAAAUGCGCAGAUAUCAGGAGGAACACCGGUGGCGAAGGCGGAUCUCUGGGCCAUUACUGACGCUGAGGAGCGAAAGCGUGGGGAGCGAACAGGAUUAGAUACCCUGGUAGUCCACGCCGUAACGGUGGGAACUAGGUGUUGGCGACAUUCCACGUCGUCGGUGCCGCAGCUAACGCAUUAAGUUCCCCGCCAGGGAAGGAAGGGA
rnacentral:rRNA from 1 species